rnacentral:rRNA from 1 species
AGUGAACGCUGGCGGUAGGCCUAACACAUGCAAGUCGAACGGCAGCACAGUAAGAGCUUGCUCUUACGGGUGGCGAGUGGCGGACGGGUGAGGAAUACAUCGGAAUCUACUUUUUCGUGGGGGAUAACGUAGGGAAACUUACGAUAAUACCGCAUACGACCUACGGGUGAAAGCAGGGGAUCUUCGGACCUUGCGCGAUUGAAUGAGCCGAUGUCGGAUUAGCUAGUUGGCGGGGUAAAGGCCCACCAAGGCGACGAUCCGUAGCUGGUCUGAGAGGAUGAUCAGCCACACUGGAACUGAGACACGGUCCAGACUCCUACGGGAGGCAGCAGUGGGGAAUAUUGGACAAUGGGCGCAAGCCUGAUGCAGCCAUGCCGCGUGGGUGAAGAAGGCCUUCGGGUUGUAAAACCCUUUUGUUGGGAAAGAAAAGCAGCAGGUUAAUACGCCGCUGUUCUGACGGUACCCAAAGAAUAAGCACCGGCUAACUUCGUG